rnacentral:rRNA from 1 species
AACGGCCGCGGUAUCCUAACCGUGCAAAGGUAGCAUAAUCACUUGCCUAUUAAUUGUAGGCUAGAAUGAAGGGGUUAACGAAAUAAAAGCUGUCUCAAUUAAUUACCUAAAAAUUAUUCUCUAUCUGAAGAAAGGUAGAUAAACUCGAAGGACAAGAAGACCCUAUAGAGCUUAAUUUUAAUUAUAGAACUACACUAUAAAAAUAUUCGGUUGGGGCGACCCAGGGCUAAUUAAUCACCCAUUAAAUAUAAGAUAUAUAAAUCAACUAAAUGACCCUUCAAAGAUCAUAAAAACAAGCUACCUUAGGGAUAACAGGCUAAUCCCACUCAAGAGUCCUUAUCAACAGUGGGGUUUGGCACCUCGAUGUUGGCUUAGG